rnacentral:lncRNA from 1 species
GCUUAUGUCUUUACUGAUGGUUCUGUCAAACUACAACUCCAGAGUUAUAAGGUUGCCUCUCAUUACAGAAGUGUCAAUUAGAUUUAAGACAAUUUUACUUUUCUUUAAAGAUACAGCAUUUAAAAAAUACUCCAAAUUGAGUUAUGCCAAAGUUUCUAACACUUGUGCGUGUAACUUGUUACAAAAUUCCCAGAAAACGUAAGAGCCACACACAUUUUUCCCCUCCAGAAAUAGCUUGCAUUUAUAAACAAUAUAUAUCACUUGCUGACAUGCAAGACCCCUAAAUUUGGUACAAAAGCCAAGAAAAAACUCCAUGGAUUUUCAUCUUGCAUAGACAGAAUGAGGUAUUAAAAAUGCUUCUGCAGGUCCUUUCAAAGAAUUGUUAGUUCAUGGUACAUCUCACAGUUAGUUCUGAGCUCUGGGUUUCAGAAUCAUGUCACACUAACAGCAUUUACUACCAACCUUCCCUAUUAACUUGAUUCAACUCCAAUUACCUCUUUGCUUUUCUGCUUUUAUCAUUAAACUGGAAGGUAGGAGGUUCUUGCUCCCAAAGUGCUUAGCAUAGUGCCCAGCAAACACUAGGUUCUCCCAAAAAACAUCUUCUGACCACACUGUCAUCUGAAAUUCUGCAGGUGUGCCAUGAUUUUAACAUGUUUCUUUUCUGCAAGUGUAGUAAUAAAGUGUAGUAAUAAUUUAAAUUAAAAAAAGCCUACAUUGCUCUAGCUGAUUGGCAUCAGUACAUGAAUCGGCUUUGCAGAUGCUACAUAAGAAAGCAGAAAGGGGUUGUCUUGACACACUUUUUACUCCAAUUCCCAUUUUUUUCUCCCAAGGAAUACAGGCUAUAAAGCUCCAAAUAUUACCACACAUUACAAGAGCCCACAGGUAUUCAUCCACUGAACACAAGGACUGCGCAGGUGGAGUCAUUUAAUAUGCUGCUUUGCUAGAUUCGGAAGCCUCCGGGCAAUGGUGUUGUGCUGCAAACGUAAAAUAUAUUUGAAGGGCAUCUGCUAACAAGGAAACCAUCUGUAUGUAAUCCAUUCUAUUUUCUAUUCCAUUUCAGAUUUAGUUUUAAUAAAGUAAUACAAAUCAUUUAAAGAAAAAACCUUUAAUUUAAAAUUCUGAUCUAUGCAUAAAAUUCAUUUUUAUAUCACGGUUAAAUUUAGUACAAACUAUAAAAAUGUUAACACUGAAGUUUUCAACAGAAGUCUAUUAAGAUGCCUUAGAAAAAUUAAACAACAGCAAGUCAUUUACUGCUAUGAGGUUAAUACAUAAAGAAACAUUCACACAUUUUACUGAAAUUUUCAGUAAAUAACUUUAGCCAUAACACUUAUAAUUAAAAGUUCAAAAGUUGUGUGUGGCUCUACAGCAAUUAUAAUUUGCAAUGAAAACACUAAGCCAAAUCUUUUUGAGCUGAUCAGAACAAUCUUAGCUACAAAAUUGGCUGAAAUUUGCAAACCUUAAAAAGAACACCAAUUGUGAAUGGAAUAGGUAUCAUAACUUAGCUUAAAGUGGAAGAUGGUAAAAACUCGAUGCUUAAGUCUGAAUUGCACAAGGAAAAUAUUAGGGGAAAAAACACUCAGCUAUUACUGAUAGCUAUUACUUUAAAAAAAUAUUAGAUCAUUCUUAUAUUAAAAACAUGAAAUGAAUCCAAGCCAGACAGUACUGAGUUUUUACACAAGCCUCUUUUGUAUUCAAUGUUGUUUAUUGAGGAGUGAAUGAGAGACUACUGCCAGACAUGCCAAUGACACUUCACAUUCAAGGGCUGGAAGCUGGAAAGCUUCCCGACUGAGUCACUGUAUAAGCCUUCUGGGAAAAAGAACCAAAGUGACAUCAAAUAUGCCAUCUUCAUGCUUGUUGUCUGUCAUCAGUUUUUUUCAACUUUUGGGUCUACUGGUUUGCUGGGUAGGAGGCUUCUUUCUACCCUACAGAAAGACUCACACUCCCAAUUCACAAUGAACACUGAAUGCAGAGCAAUUUGUGUGAACACACAUCUACGCUGAGUAAC